CCCGCAACGAGCGUAACCCUUAUCCUUUGUUGCCAGCGGUCCGGCCGGGAACUCAAAGGAGACUGCCAGUGAUAAACUGGAGGAAGGUGGGGAUGACGUCAAGUCAUCAUGGCCCUUACGAGUAGGGCUACACACGUGCUACAAUGGCAUAUACAAAGAGAAGCGACCUCGCGAGAGCAAGCGGACCUCAUAAAGUAUGUCGUAGUCCGGAUCGGAGUCUGCAACUCGACUCCCUGAAGUCGGAAUCGCUAGUAAUCGUGGAUCAAAAUGCCACGGUGAAUACGUU
rnacentral:rRNA from 1 species